rnacentral:rRNA from 1 species
GACGAACGCUGGCGGCGUGCUUAACACAUGCAAGUCGAACGCUGAACUUGGAGCUUGCUCUGGGGGAUUAGUGGCGAACGGGUGAGUAACACGUGAGUAACCUGCCCUGGACGCUGGGAUAACUUCGAGAAAUCGGAGCUAAUACCGGAUAGGACCUUGCACCGCAUGGUGUGGGGUGGAAAGUUUUUCGGUUUGGGAUGGACUCGCGGCCUAUCAGCUUGUUGGUGAGGUAAUGGCUCACCAAGGCGUCGACGGGUAGCCGGCCUGAGAGGGUGACCGGCCACACUGGGACUGAGACACGGCCCAGACUCCUACGGGAGGCAGCAGUGGGGAAUAUUGCACAAUGGGCGCAAGCCUGAUGCAGCAACGCCGCGUGCGGGAUGACGGCCUUCGGGUUGUAAACCGCUUUUAGUAGGGAAGAAGCCUUCGGGUGACGGUACCUGCAGAAAAAGGACCGGCUGACUACGUGCCAGCCGCCGCCGUAAGAC